UUUUAGUGCAUCACAAUUAAUGUAAUAAAUAAACAAGCUUUUGCUUAUCGAGUUUUAAGGGCCGAAAAUAGUUUUAUGAAGAAGUAUGCACCAUUGCAAGUCCCGCAUAACAAUCAUACCAUGUAUCCUAAAUGAUAAGCUCCUCCCAUAACUAACAAUUGAAUGUUACUUAACUUUUAAGGAAGUUGUUAGAUGAAGUAUGUGCCUAAGCAAACAAUAAUAGUUGUUGUUGUUACAUUUCUUUAACAAUAUGACGACCAUGUAAAUACGGCGCUGUUCGUAGUAUACUAAUAAAAAUCGUUUUUAA